UGGGUAACCUUUUGUGAGUUUAACGAGACAUCGCCGAAGUAAACACGAUGAACAGCCUGAAACGGCGCCAGUUACCUCAAAGAAAAAGAAAUCAAAGAACAAAAUGUCAACAAUUGAAAUGCCUGUUAUACAAAAAUUGUGUAGGGAAAUUGGGGAGAAAAUGUGGGAAGAAAAACUUUGACCUGACAAAAUAAUAGGCAAUUGUAUCAAGCUUGAAACCUAGUGAGGAAUUUGUGAAUUUCAUUAAUGAUGCGUUCUCCAUUUUUAUCGAAAGGGAAACCAGGGUACGUCCUUAGCCAGUUUCUGUGCAGAGAUCUUGAAGAAUUGGAGAAAAUUAUUUCCAGCCUGUGACAAUCAACCUG